UAGAGGAUGCUUCGGGCAAGGCUGCGGUCUAAUUCGCUUGGAACAGCGGGUCACAGAGGGUGAGAAUCCCGUCUAGGACCGCGUGCCGCGUCCAUGUGAAGCUCCUUCGACGAGUCGAGUUGUUUGGGAAUGCAGCUCUAAAUGGGUGGUAAAUUUCAUCUAAAGCUAAAUAUUGGCCAGAGACCGAUAGCGCACAAGUAGAGUGAUCGAAAGAUGAAAAGCACUUUGAAAAGAGAGUUAAACAGUAUGUGAAAUUGUUGAAAGGGAAGCGCUUGCAAUCAGACUUGCGUGGGGCGGUUCCCCCGGUCUUCUGACCGGGCUAUUCCGUCAUCUCCAGGCCAGCAUCGGUUUGGGUGGUCGGUUAAAGGUCCCGGGAAUGUAUCUACCUUCGGGUCGACUUAGAGCCCGGGGCGCAAUGCGGCCUACCCGGACCGAGGUACGCGCUUCGGCUCGGAUGCUGGCGUAAUGGUUGCAAGCGGCCCGUCUUGAAACACGGACCAAGGAGUCUAACAUCUAUGCGAGUGUUUGGGUGUUAAACCCCUACGCGUAAUGAAAGUGAACGGUGGUAAGAACC
rnacentral:rRNA from 1 species